CUGCACUCAAAGGCAACAGCCAAUCGGAUGUCUUCUAUAAAUACCGGGCUCCGUCUCCAGACCAAUCCGGAGCUCGCUUUCAUAAAAAAGCUUGUGUUUGAGCACACGUGGCGGCAAUUCUUCUAGACCCCCGCCUCUCCCCUUUCCCCUGUAUUUCUGCAGCCACAGACAAAAUGGCCAGAGUGUAAAGUUCAUAUAUCCACGGUAGAGUCUUCCGGAUCUUAAAUCCUGCCUGUUUUCCAGCACCUUCUGGCCUCCUGUCUGCUGAUUAGCCGGAUCAGCUUGUUUCAGAACCUUCCUCCAACUCCUCUGAGGGGACCCAGAGGCGUUUCCAAUCCUGCCAAGCAUGUCCUUGGUCUUCCCCAGGGUCUCUACUGGAUUGGACAUGACUGGAACACCCCCUCUGGGAGUCAUCCACCUCACCUGGCUCCUCUAAAGUGGAGAAGCUUUACUUAUCUCUUUCUGGGUGACUGAGCUGCUCACCAUUUCUAUGAGGAGGUACUAAAGAAGAAGGUCAAUCACCAUCAUCUAAAACAACGAAUGCAAAAGAAGAGGAGGUGUGGGAAAUGCCCAUUAGGAUGAAGCCACCACUAAAUCAACGACCCUCCUCAUAGCAGGCGAUGGGAUGCCCUUAUGAACUACAGAAAGGUCAAGGUUUCAAGAACUGACGAGAACAUUCAUCUCCCUUCAUUGUGUUCAGGGCUGGCAGGUCGGGGAGGGCCCCUCUACCUGUCACGGGGCAGGAUUUAGGGUCCGGGUCUGGACAGGUGAACUGAUUGCUCCCAAACAAACCCCCACAGUUCAUGUGGUUUCUCAUGACAUGAGUGUUUAGGAAUUCCGGCUUUGAAGAGUACAUUGGAGCCAAUCGUAGACACUUGUUUCCAAUUUACUCUGAAUUUUAGUUAACUUUAGUUAUUGUUGUACUUUGAUUGAUCUGUACAAUUUUAGGGAGUAAAAACGGGUGACCUGAAGAAGAAAAACGUCUAAACUGAGCAAACAAAUGGAGGACAUACAGAAAGAGUUGAAAGACUAAAGAGAACUCUGAAGAGCCUACAGGUGUAGCUUCUGGUUUUCAUAAACUUCAGCUUCCAUUCCUCAUUUUUUACUAUCGUGAAAUCCCUGCUGUUUUCUAUUAAGUCUUUCAUCCUGUGAUUUUUCUUCUACUUUGUUUUCAAGCAUAUAUGCUUUCAUUUUAUAAAAUGAAACUUCAAAUUAUUAGAACCUUUUUCAAAGGUGGCAUUCUGUAAUGUUUUGGUCAAAGGUUAUGAUUUUACUUCAGUCUUUGUCGUGUUAAGGCGUAACUAAACACUA